rnacentral:rRNA from 1 species
CCAAUAGCGUAUAUUAAAGUUGUUGCAGUUAAAAAGCUCGUAGUUGAAUUUCGGGACCAGUAUGUUGGUCGUGCUUCGGUACGUACUGUCAUUACUGGUUUCUCCCUUCUGAAGAACCUUUAUGUCAUUAAUUUGGUGUCUUGGGGAAUCAGGACUGUUACUUUGAAAAAAUUAGAGUGUUUAAAGCAGGCAUACGCUUG